AGAGUAUGAUCCUGGCUCAGAACGAACGCUGGCGGCGCGUCUAACACAUGCAAGUCGAGCGAGAACGUAUCCUUCGGGAUGCUAGUAAAGCGGCGCACGGGUGAGUAACACGUGGAUAAUCUACCCUAAGGUGGGGGAUAACUAUUCGAAAGGAUGGCUAAUACCGCAUAAGACCACAAGAACUUCGGUUCAAGGGGUCAAAGGGAAACUUCUUCGGGAGUUUUUCGCCAUAGGAUGAGUCCGCGGCCCAUUAGGUAGUUGGUGGGGUAAUGGCCUACCAAGCCAUCGAUGGGUAGCUGGUCUGAGAGGAUGAUCAGUCACACUGGAACUGAGACACGGUCCAGACUCCUACGGGAGGCAGCAGUGGAGAAUUUUGCGCAAUGGGCGAAAGCCUGACGCAGCGACGCCGCGUGUGCGACGAAGGCUCUAGGGUCGUAAAGCACUGUCAAGGGGGAAGAACACCUAUUUAUAGGCUGACGGUACCCCUGAAGGAAGCACUGGCUAACUCCGUGCCAGCAGCCGCGGUAAUACGGAGAGUGCAAGCGUUGUUCGGAAUCACUGGGCGUAAAGAGCAUGUAGGCGGCUUAGUAAGUCUGAAGU
rnacentral:rRNA from 1 species